rnacentral:rRNA from 1 species
GCGACGUGCUACACUGACAGUCCACGGCAGAUUAUAAGGAAUCUUGUCAAUUCUAAAAUUUCUGGCGCACGGGUGAGUAACGCGUGGAUAACCUGCCUGGUAGACCGGGAUAACAGCUGGAAACUGCUGCUAAUACCGGAUACGCUUAAGGGAACGCAUGUUCUUUUAAGGAAAGCAAUCGUGCUAUCAUAUGGAUCCGCGUCCCAUUAGCUAGUUGAUGGUGUAAGGGACCACCAAAGAGACCAUUGGUAGCCGGCCUGAGAGUUCGACCGGCCACACUGGGACUGAGACUCGGCCCAGACUCCUACGGGAGGUAGCAUUGGGGAAUCUUCCACGAUGGGCGAAAGCCUGACAGAUCAACGCCUCGUGAGGGAAGAACGCCUUCUCGUUGUAAACCUCUGUCAUCAUUGAAAAACAGAUGACUGUGCUUGGAGAGGAAGCCCGGCUAUCUACGUGCCAGCUACCGCGGUAUAACGUAAGGGGCGAUCGUUGUCCGGAAUUACUGGGCGUAAAUGGCUCGUACGUGGUGCAUUAGUUUAUAUGUGAAAGAUCGUCGCUCGACGUCGAGAUUGGCUCUGAUUCUGCUGGAUUGACUGAUGAAACGGGACUCAAUUCCAGUGUAGCCCUGAAAUGCUUACAUUAGUUACGAACAUGAGUACCUAAUGCCGCUGUCUAGACGUAACUGAUACUCUAGCGCGUACCGUGGUCAACGCACAGGACUACAACCCUGGUAGUCCACGCCGUGACGAUGAGGGUACGUGUCGCGGUAUUCCCCCCCUUUGC